CAAUAGCGCAUAUUAAAGUUGUUGCAGUUAAAAAGCUCGUAGUUGGAUUUCUGGUGGGAGCGAUCGGUCUGGCGCUUAGCGCGAGUACUUGCAUCGUCUCCGGCCAUCCUUGGGGAGAGUCUGUCUGGCAUUAGGUUGUCGGGCAGAGGAUCCUCAUCGUUUACUGUGAAAAAAUUAGAGUGUUCAAAGCAGGCUUAUGCCGUUGAAUAUAUUAGCAUGGAAUAAUAAGAUAGGACUUUGGUACUAUUUUGUUGGUUUGCGCACCAAAGUAAUGAUUAAUAGGGACAGUUGGGGGUAUUCGUAUUCCGUUGUCAGAGGUGAAAUUCUUGGAUUUACGGAAGACGAACUACUGCGAAAGCAUUUACCAAGGAUGUUUUCAUUAA
rnacentral:rRNA from 1 species